CUGGCGCGGCCGCGAGCGCCCGGGUGACCUGUACUGGUCGGGCGCGGUUUGCGUACGCUCUCCACUGCCGGCCGCGGCCUGGCAGGCGGCGUGUCGUCAUCUCUUUCGUCACCUUCGUCAUUCUGCUCCUGCGUUCGCAGGGUCCCGGGACACCCGGCCAGGAGGCGCCCCCUAGGCAUCCCAGGAGUGGGUGCGACCUCUGAGUGCUACGAGGGCUCGGGAAGUGCGCGCUGAUCUCCAGGGGGAAGCGGGGCCUGUGGCUAGUGGGCGCCGGGCCGGGCGAGGGGGCGGGGAACCUGGACUGAAGGAGUGGACCCCACUGUCCACAAAUGUUCCCGCCCCGGAAUCGCGGUGACGCCUCCUGGGGUAGUUGCAGUUGGCCGAGAGCUGGUGCCCCGUGCGGAGAUAACUUUUGUGGAAAAUAUUAAUCUACACACAUUGUGUUUUUACAGCGUAAACAAUUGCUUUUAAAACUUCAUUAGGCCAAAUGAGCAGCAGCUACUAGUGGUUGUGUUGAUGCUGCAAGUUUUCACUGAUUUUAAAAUGGACUGUAUUUGCUACAGAGAACUCUGUAAGAUUUCUAAACACCGAGGAUUCUAUGGAGGGUCAUUGAAAAGUGUUAGAAAAAUUAGGGUCUAGAUGAGUCGUGAGUCAUUGCAUGAUCUCAUACAGAUGCGAAACAUCUCCGUCACUCUCUAGUACUAGAAGUGCAUUUACCAGUGCUCCUCAUCAAGCUUGGAAUGCUCUCUCUUCGUGUGCAUGUAUCCAAACCCAACACAUCCAGCAAGACUCAAUUAAGUCCACUUCAUCUGACAGUCCCUCUUUGGGACAUAUGUUGUAGCCACCCUGCUCUGAAUGGUCUACCUGGAUGGCUUACUGGUGACGCAAAUCCUACAUGCAUUCAUUAUACUCGUUAUUUCCUCCUCAAAAACUGACCCACUGCAAUUAGAAAAGUCAGGACAGAGCCAGAUGGCCUGGAGAUGCCAGUCUCUUAAUGGUGCUAAAAUGUCCCUGGAAGCUAGCAAGUUGAAAGUAAUAUACUCACCCAAAUUCUUCUCAGGAAGACUACUGUAUGAUGUUAAAAGAAAUGUUAUCACAAGCUACUUGGUUGGAUGGAUGGUGGUGACUGGUGAGAGAGACUUUCUAAAGCAUUCUAGAGUGACAGUAAAUGAUUAUAAAAUCUCCACCCCCGAUGGGUAUACAUUGCAGAUGUAAUUAGUCAAGAUGACAUAAUGCUAGAGUAGGAUGGGUCCCUUAUGCAAUUUGACUGGCGUCCUUAUUAGAAGACAGAGAUACACAGGGAAAAUGAGAUGUGAAGGCAGAGACAGAGAUUGGAAUGAUGAGGAUCCCAGGAAUCCCAAGGUCUGCUGCUGUCAUUCGAGUAAUUGCACAGGCUUUGUUUUGCUGAAUGAAGUAUUUAGGAGUUGGAGCAGAGCUAAAUUGCUCUGAGUAGUAGAGAAGAGGUGGACAUCCUACCAGAGGAACUUCCUUCUCCAAUCCUUCUAGAUCAUUCUAGAAUAGAAGCCUUCAGCCUCUAUUCUAAAUAAGUGUUGAAUAUUUAAAGGAUAUAAUAGUCAAAUUCUUUAAAGAUCAGGCAUGUAUCAUAAGUAAAUCUAGAUGUAAGGUAAUAGGGCACGAUUGAGUCUCUGAAAAAGUGGAGCAAAUGCCAUUUACUCUUUAGUAAAGACAUUUCCAUUCAAAUAUUUAAAAAUUGUGUCAGCCAAAAAUUAAAAUUAAAAAAUGCCCACCUUUGUGCUAGAGUCAGCUCAUGGUGGACUGCAGUUGGGAUUUCUGGAUUUUUUUUUUGAAAGAGUGCCCUUUGAAUGUCUUACCCACAGUGUCUGCAGGACCCUGGCAGGCCCAGUUUGGAAUCCUACUCAAGCCUUCCUCCUCAUCUGUAAGAGUUAAGGCUACUUUGGCUGGAAUUUACAACUCUAUUUCUUAAAGCAGGGUGGAGGAAAACAUGAAGAUGAGUCAAAAGGGGCAUGUACACUGACCCUUAAGAAAGGUUUGCAGAAGAUACUGUCACACAACACUUCCACCUUCACUUCUUUGGCCUACAUUUAUCCAUGUGGCCACAGCUGGGAAAAGUAGCCUCCUUUCUGGGUAGAAAUGUGCCAGCCGGAAAUCAGAACUCCAUUAGCAUGGAAAUGAGAUGUUGUGGAUUGAAUUGUGUCCCCUAACAAGAUAUGUUGAAGUUCUAAUUCCCAGUACCUCAGAAUGUGGCAUUAUUUGGAAACAGGGAUAUUGCAGAUAUAAUUAGUCAAGAUGACAUCAUACUGGAGUAAGGUGAGUCCCUUAUCUAAUAUGACUGGUGUCCUUAUAAAGAAACAGAAAAGGCCAGGUGCGAUAGUUCACACCUGUAAUCCCAGCACUUUGUGGGGCUGAGAUAGGUGGGGAUUGCCUGAUCUCAGGAGUUGGAGACCAGCCUGGGCAACAUGACAAAACCUAUCUCUGCAAAAAAUACCAAAAUUAAGUGAGUGUGGUGGCACCUGCCUGCAGUCCCAGCUACUUGGGACUGAAGUAGGAGUCCUGAAGUCAGAGGAUUGUUUGAGCCCAGAAGGUGGAAGCUGCAGUGAGUUGGUUUUGCACUACUGCACUCCAGACUGGGUGACAAAGUGAGACUCUGUUGAAAGAAGAAGAAAGAGACAGAGAGAGAGAGAGAAAAGAAGAAGAAGAGGAAGAGGAAGAAGAAGAAGAAUGAAGACAGGAGAGGAGGAACAGAAAAGAAAAGAAAGAAAAGAAAAGAAAAAAGAAAAAGAGAAGAAAAGAAGAAAAGACAGAAACACACGGGAGAAACAUCAAGGACUUCCUGCUGUCACUAGGAACAAGGAGAGAGGCGUGCAACAGAUUCUCCCGCACAGCCCCCACAAGUAACUAACCCCACUGAAACUUUGAUUUCAGAGGUAUAUCCUCCAGAACUGAGAGACAAUAUGUUUCUGUCACUUCAGCCACCCAGUUUGUGUUACUUUGUUGUGGCAGCCCAAGCAGACUAAUGCAAGAGAGAAAGUAGGUAUUAGGAGACCACUAACAGUUGUUACCACAAUUUCCCAUCAAUAGUAUAAUUCCAGUAAUUUGUUCUGUGCAACAUUUCUCCAAUUUGAACCUUCAUGUCUAUUUUUCCUGCUGUUGCCUUACUGAGUAAGCUCUGUAAGUGGUCUUACUGCCUCCACGUUUGCAUUUCCAUGUCAUCCUUAUCACUACCACUAGGAUCAUCUUCCUGAAAAUAUAGAUCAGAUUAGAUUACUUCUCUCCUAAAAAAUUGUCAGUGAUUUCUCAUGACCUGCAGGAAAUCUCACUCCCUUAGCAUGGCAUUCAACAUCUUCUGUGGUUUGGCUGACCUUAACCCCGUUUUUGAACUUCUGUAACUGCAUCUUUCUAAAUAAUUAUGUAUUCCGUUAUUAUAGGAAUACAUAUUUUCUCCCAAAACUCAGCAUUUACUUUUACUUUUCCACACCCCUCAAGCACUAAUGAUUCAUAUUACCUUCUCCAUCUGCUGAAAUUCUACUCAUCUUCCAAGGGCCAGCUCUGGUUGAAAUUCUAUAAUAAUGCCUGUAUUUGCAUAGUACUCUGCCAUCUAGAAAGCACUUUCACAUUAUACUAAAUGCAAUCAUGGCAUCUUCUCAAGAUGUCUAUGGCAUCUCAACCCUUGGGCAUUCCUGCACAGUGACCAUCCCCCAUAUAAUAGGAAUUGCCCUGGGAUGCUCUUCACAUCCAAGUAGCCAAUCCAUAGGUGAGGCAGUUAUCAGCAGGCAUUCCCUCUCUUAUGUAAGAUGGAAAGCUGAUUUCCCAAUAGUUUGAGAUAUGUGAAGCAGCUAAUUAAACUAUCCUCUUUGUACCCAGACUCUGUCCAUAGAAGGCAAGGCUUUGGGGAAAUUGAUAGCCUCUGCACAAAGCAGUAUUACAGAAAUGUGGAAUGCAGGGAUGAUAGGAUGGGUUGAUACUUCUUACCAUAUUAAGUAACUUUUUCCCUUGAAUUAAAGGCAGCUAAAAUGCCUGCAGUCCAUUUAUUGGGCCCCUGUGUUAGUCAUCCACAGAGCUAGUUGAAAGUCAGUUUUAGAAACUAGCAUAAUAAACAUCCAGCACAAAAGAGGAGUGCAACAAAAUUAAACUAAGCACCAUUAUUUUGUUUUCAAGAGACAUGGGAUUUGCCAUGAGAGAUGUUAGCACCAAGCUGCCCUGCCAAGUGCCAAAAGCCAGUUUAAAUUAUCUGUGACGCUAGCCAACUGAGAGCCCAGAGGACUCCAGCUUCCCUCGCCUGAGGGAAGACCUUAGCAGGCCUGUCAGAACCAAAGCUUGUUCUGACACCUUGUUCCCCCAGGAGCUCAGCAUCCAGUUUCCAUUCCCCUCAAAACUUCACCUGUCAAAAAAAGCAGAUGAAUGGCUCACAUCACUGAUGUCUAGGCUGUGGCUGUAGAAGAUGAUCAGACCCACAAGGACGUUUAGAAGAUUACCUGGAAUACAAUGAGGUGGCUGGGCCAAGCCAUGAUUCUGAGUCAAGUCAGAAUCUGCUGGAAGGACUGCUGAGAAAUAUUUUAUUAGUGUAGUCCUUUUAUUUCCCUGUUUUUUGAAUUCACUAUGCGUAUCAUGGCUGGAGGUGCAGUUGCCAUCUUGUAAGCGUGAGAGAAAGAACAGAGAAUUUCAUAGAUAUUUGCCCUGAUAUCAAUAACCUGCUGAACCAAGUGGGCAGUUACCACCUUCCAGACUUCUUGUGAUUUAAGAAAAACAACCCCCUAUUUGUUUAAGCCAAUGGAGUACAGUGUUCU